CCUCCGUUCUUGGCAUGCACGCUUUCUCCCUGUAUCCGUGUAUGUAUGUUAUGGAGGGAUAACAAGGCCAGUGCUAUGUCUUCGGUGCCAGAAUGUUCCUUGUCUUCUGGUUCUAUCCUCAAUUCGCUGGUACAUCC